rnacentral:misc_RNA from 1 species
GUCAAGACAUCAAGGAAACCCUACAACCAGAAGUUUGCGGAGCUAAAUGGCAAUGACAUAUUCAAAGGUGAUGCUCCUCUAGGUUCAGCGGAGAAACCACUGAGCGUGGCAAAGUUGAGGGAGAUGAACGGUAGUGACAUCUUUGCUGAUGGUAAGGCUCCCAACAGGGACUACCUUGGUGGCGUCCGUAAACCCCCUGGCGGCGAGAGCAGCAUCGCGCUGGUUUGACUGUUUAUUGACAUAAUUUGUCUUUCG